rnacentral:rRNA from 1 species
UGAUUUWUGGCUUAAUAAGUAAUURUARUGGGGGUAUUYGGUCUCGGAAGCAGUCCGACUGUUUAUUAAAAACAUUUCUCCCGCGUUGUUAUUGCGGGGUAGGACCUGCCCGGUGCGGGGUAAACGGCCGCGGUAUUAUGACCGUGCGAAGGUAGCAUAAUUAAUUGCCCCAUAAUUGGGGGMUUGUUUGAAGGGUUUAACGUGGCUGUUGUGCAGAUUAYCGCCGAUUGUGAAUUUAAUUUUACGGGUGCAGAGUCCGUUAGGWGUAAUAAGACGGAAAGACCCCMGGAGCUUUCUUUUUUGUUUGGGGCAGAUUUUGUUUUUUUAACGAAUUUAUGACCCGCGGAGUACAGGUUUAAGUUACCCUGGGGAUAACAGGGUUAUGGCCCAGUAGAGAUCGUAUCGAUUGGGCAGUUUGCCACCUCGAUGUUGACUUGGGGGCUGGACGAUUGGCGUAGCCGCUAGUAGACACGGGUCUGUUCGACCCU